AUUGAACGCUGGCGGCAGGCCUAACACAUGCAAGUCGAGCGGCAGCGGGAAAGUAGCCUGCUACUUUUGCCGGCGAGCGGCGGACGGGUGAGUAGUGCCUGGGAAAUUGCCCAGUCGAGGGGGAUAACAGUUGGAAACGACUGCUAAUACCGCAUACGCCCUACGGGGGAAAGCAGGGGACCUUCGGGCCUUGCGCGAUUGGAUAUGCCCAGGUGGGAUUAGCUAGUUGGUGAGGUAAUGGCUCACCAAGGCGACGAUCCCUAGCUGGUCUGAGAGGAGGAUCACACACACUGGAAAUGAGACACAGUCCAGACUCCUACGGGAGGCAGCAGUGGGGAAGAUUGAACAAUGGGGGAGACCCUGAUGCAGCCAUGCCGCGUGUGUGAAGAAGGCCUUCGGGUUGUAAAGCACUUUCAGCGAGGAGGAAAGGUUGAUGCCUAAUACGUAUCAACUGUGACGUUACUCGCAGAAGAAGCACCGGCUAACUCCGUGCCAGCAGCCGCAGUAA
rnacentral:rRNA from 1 species